rnacentral:lncRNA from 1 species
CGACAAUUACGCAGUAAGGGCAACAGUACUCCAGGCUUUAGAAGCUCAAAGGAGAGGGGUGGCAAAAAAUCAGGCACAAAGACAGUAGCCGGCUUGGACAUGGCUAAAUAGUGCAGGCGACAGGAAAAAGGGGCGGCGGGGGGCGGGGGAGCUGGAGCGUGAAGAGAGAAAUUAAAAGCAAUGAAUUGGUAGGCGUGAGCAGUUUUCCCUGGAAGCUGGAGAUGCAGGCAGGAUGAGCUUCGAGUCAGCCUCUGUUUGGAUGGCUUAGUCUGGCUUGCAUCUGGAUUCUUUUUUAUUUUUUUUUCAUUUUUAAAAUUUUUUUUCUUUUCAUUUUACAUUCCAACCACAGUUCUCCCUCCCUCCCCUCCUCCCAGAACCUCCCUCCCCCGCCUCCUCCCACAUAGGUCUUCAGUCAAGGGUAUACGCAGUAGCUGCUCCCUUCUAGAACCUCCAAGUGUCUGGAUUCUUAAGGAUCCCGGAGCUCUGUUGAGUUCAGGAAGUCACCGUGCCUCUGUUUCCUUGCUUUGUGGGCUGAGUUAGACCUCUUAAGUUUCCCUUCAGUUGAAACAUUGUAUGGAUUUGUUGUUGAGAAAUGCAAUACAGAUUGCAUACAGUUGGCAAUCCCCAAAUCGUUUGUGUGACGUCUGGUUGCUGUACCGGGAGACUUAAAAACCUCCAUCUUGCUCGUCUUCAGCAUCCUGUAGCUCAAGACUCCUCGGGAAAGUGUAGAAGAGGGCCCCCCAGGAUGUGGUAACUGCUAUCAAGCUUCCCAGUACCAGCUGAGGAGAGCCAGCUCCCGGAGACCUGGAAACUUGUAGUAUUUCAGGGCACCGGAGCUGUUGGGUAGUGGGAGCAUUGGUAAGGAACUGGUAUGGAGUGAAGCUGGACUCUCAGAACACUGAAGCAACACCGGAACCUAAUGGGUUAGCAAUUGAGUAGACCACUCUUUUCUGUAAGAUUCACAUCUUAAAAGAAAACUUUCUGUUAGAAGGCUCCCAAGAAAUCAGAUACUGUUAGCUGGAAUGCAAGAAUGUGGGCAAAUAGGAAAAUUCCUAGGUCCCCCAACCCUGUCUGAUGAUUCUUACCCUUUGUCACUUCUUGGGAAAAAUCCUAUGUGAUGGCUGUUUUAAACACUGGUCCUGGAGAAGAUGCGGGCUCCGGCUCUGAAGAAACCCAUGUUACAUUUCCUCCUCCAUUUAGGAUUUGAUGGUCCUGCUUAUCUAGAGUGCUCACAUUGUGAACACCGUGGCGGGCUGGGGAUUUUAAUUCUGCCUUGAUGGAAUUUGAACCUAAACAUGAUGCCAGUGCCACUUUAUAAACUGGGAAUCAUUAAGCUGGCUACAAAUACCUCGAGGGGUCCUUGCUCGUUCAACAUAAAUCAGUAAAAUGACAGGCAAUUGACUUUGAAGACAGCUCUCAUGCGGCUGAGUGGCUGGAGCUGCUGGAAGCAGAUGAGGCCAUUUUCCUGUAAACAUGCUUUGGAUUAGCACCAGAGUAAACAGCAGAUUGGGCUGUGUCUUCCAGACUCCAGCCUACCCUGGAUCUUUUAUUAGGCAGAAACCAACAUGCCCCUCAGGGCAGGGAAGUUGCCAAUUGGAAGAACUAAGUUUGGAUUUCAACUACUGUUUCAGAGGUUUAGUCCGCCGUCAUCAUGGUGGGAAACACAGUGGCGUGCAAGCAGAUAUGGCGCUAGAGAAGGGGCUGAGAGUUCUACAUCCUGAUCAGCAGGCAACAGGAAGUGAACUGUGUGCUGGAAGUAGCUUGAGCAUAGGAGAUCACAAAGCCCACCCCAUACAGUGAGACACUUCUUCCAGCAAGACCACACCUACGCCAACAAAGUUACACCUCCUAACUGUGCCACUCCCUAUGGGGGCCAUUUUCUUUCAAACCACCAUACCUGUGUUAUAUAAGAAUGUAGGCUGAACAAACCAUGAAGAGCAAGCCAGGAAACAAUGUUCCUUCGUGGUCUCUACUUGAAUUCCUGUUUCUGGGUUUCUGCUUUGGGUCCCUGUCUUUGUGUCCCUUGAUGAUGUACUAUAACCUGUAAGCUGAAAUAAACCUUGUUCCUGAAAAAUUGCUUUUGGUCAAAGUUUUAUCAUAAGAUCAGACAGCAAACUAGGACAGUGACCAGUGCUGACAAUAUAGCCCUCAAAACGUGUCCCUGCCAUUGAGUGACACAUGAUUAUCUACUUUUUUUUGUCAGGAUCGGCUAGAAUUCUGGUCAAUUUUUUGUUUAUCAGUUACUGCCUUUGACUCUUGAUAGUCCCUUAUGAUGAAGUUUUCUUCUUACUGGACCAUGUCUUCUAGUUGAUGGGCUGGGGGUUUUCUCAUCUCUUAAAUGUUCAAAAAUAUCUGAAAUUUCCCCUCAUAGUUGGAUAAUUGGG